CAAGGCGUAUGUGUUAAAUAUUAAAGGAAAAUCGCAGAUUAUUUUUUGAGGAUAAAGACGUUUCUUACACUGGAGUACCAUUCAUUGUUUCAUCAAAUGGUACACUUGACUGACAUCAUGGCAAGGAUAAAAUAGUAAAGCUAAAGCUCUGUACAAAAUUAAAAAAAAUACAGAAGCAAGUUCAGAUCAUUCUUUCAAAAUAAAAAGAAUGAUUCCACAAAUUACCAAGAAAUUUGAUUGUCCCGCCAAAAUUUUUAUCAAAGAAAUUAUUGAAUUUCCUGAGUUUAAGCUGGAUCGAGAUUCUACCAGGAUCAGGAAAGAAGUUUCAAAAAAAUUACGUUCAGCUUUGAUUUUAAAACAAACAGUUUUAAUGUGCAGAAAAUAUAUUUUGGUAAUUCCUGCAAUAUCUGCUCAUAGUAACCAUCUAAUUAGUGAUGCCGCAGGUCUUAAUCAACCUUUAUGUGAAGAACUUAUUUUAAAAAUUGGUGAGUUGGCCAGAACGGGUGUCAGUUCUGUUACUGAAAUGAGACGUCAUCUAAAGACCUUUCUUCAGAUGGAAUUUAAUUCUAAUAACAUGCUGCAGAAGACAAACAAACAAUUUUUUCCAAGUGAUAAGACCAUUGCAAAUCACAUGUUGAUAGCUAGACAAAAACUUCGCAAGUCCAUGAUAGAUCAAGAAUGUCUUUAGGAAAAAAUAAAUGAUUGGAAAAUUAAUUUUCAAGAUACAAUGAUAAAAUUUAGACCAAAGGGAGGUAAUUUAGAAGAUAAUGAUCUUAUUUUUUGUUGUUUGUAUAUCAAGAUAUAUGGCAAAGAAGAUUACUAUUAAGAUAUGGGAAUGAGCUUGCUUUUCUUGAUGCUACAUACCGAACAACCAGAUAUGCACUACCUCUUUUUUUCCUCGUCGUUAAAACUAACAUAAAUUACCAAAUUGUUGCUAUAUUUGUGUGUGAACAUGAAACCACCAAAUCUAUUAAAGAAUCACUUAUGUGCAUCAAAGAAUGGAAUCCUUUAUUUCAACCAAAGUUUUUUAUUACUGAUUAUUCUAAUGAAGAAAUAAAUUCACUUGAAUCAGUGUUUUCAGGUUCUACAGUGUUAUUUGUGAUUUUCAUCGAGAACAAGCUUGGGAACGAUGGCUGUCUAAAACUGCUAAUGGAUGUUGCAUGGUGAAAGAUGUAGUUAAAGAUAAGCUUCGUGAAAUUGCACAUGCAAAAACAAUUGAGACUUGCCAAAAAGCUGUUGAGGCAUUGGAGGAAUCAAAAGAGUGGCAAAACAACCCAAAACUUGUAGAAUAUUUGAAAAGCACUUGGCUAUGCAUUCAAAAGCGCUGGGUUGUUGCAUAUAGGAAAGAUCGUAUCUUGUUGGAUGUCAACACCAACAAUGGAACUGAAAGACAGAACCUAUCUUUCAAAUACAGUUUUUUUAGAAAAAAGAAAGAAUUCUUCUCUAACAACUAUGCUUAGUAUUUGCAUAGAAGAAUUUCUUCCUCACAAAUACGACAAUUAUUGUGAUGAAAAUAGAAGAGCACAUUCCUCAUAUAGAAAAUAUGAUGAUAAAGUUCCAGCAUAUUUGAUUGAUCGUCCAAUAUCAUUAGUCAAACAUUGUAUGGCAUUGAUUGAAAAAUUACAAGGUGUGGAUUUGCGGGGCAUAACUGCUGUGACAUACAAACUAUACAAUGUAGCUUCUUUUAAUUCAAAUAGUAGAGAGAUUUACCAAUGCUACCUUGGUGAUUCUGAAUGUCUGCCAGCUUGUUCUUGUCCUAGUUGGUUUCGUACCUCAUAUCCAUGUAAACACUUUCUUGCCAUUUUUCUAAAAGAGAAUCUCUCUUAGUCUGCAUUUGGCACUGCAUAUGCAAAUUCUCCUUAUUUCAAGCUGGAUUUAUUUUCAGAAGAAAAUAGUUUAGCUCAUUCCAAUAAGGUUUCAUUAUAUAAUAUUCAAUAAGAACAUGUUGAACCGCUACACAUAUCCUCUCUUAUUAAACAGAGUGACAAGGAAGUUCAAAAUUUUAAUUAUGUGCAUGUAAAUAGUAAUCAGGGUUUGAUUGCUAUAAACUACAGUAAUCAUACCUCUGCAAGCUGUUGUGAGCUCUUAAAUGAAAUUAAACAAAUGAGUUACUUUGUGACUCUCAACAAGCUACUGAUAAUUUGUUUGAAGGGCUUUGUCAAUUUAAAACACGUUUAGCAGAAAGUCUUCCAGUAGAACAAGGAAUUCUGCUGCGUCCAGAGAUUCAACCUGAUACUUGGAAUAAGUCACACACAAAUUCACCAAAACUUAGUCUUCUCCCUGUGCGGCGUAAAAGAAAAAUGACUAAGUGUGUUGGUGUUAAAUAUGACAAAUAUAAAGCAGCUGCUGAUAUUAGUGUGAUGGCUGAAAAGGAAAGUUAUAGUUCUGAAAUUGUCACAAGUCACUCAAUUGAUGAAAACUAUGAAAUUUUUAUGGUUCCUAAUGAAUCAAUUGAUAUCAUGGAACAUUUAACUGAUGAUAGUAACAACUCUGUUGAUAUGACUGUAAAUGAAGAUGUUAAACAAGAUAAAAUAGUGCUGCAAAUUCAAAGUCUUAAAUCAUCUUUGAUUGGUCAUAAAGAACAAAAUGAUAUCAUAAAAAGACAAAUGCUUAAUGAUAACGUAAUUCACUUUUGUCAGCAACUUUUGGCAAUCCAGUUAAAUAUUGAUGUUGGACAGCAAGAUCCCAUUAAAGGACAAAUUUUAUCUUUUGAUAUCUAUACAAGUACUCCAUUUGUCCAAAUUCUUCAUGAUGGAAAUCUUCACUGGUUAUGUGUAACCACAUAUGACUGUAAACCAGGGGAGAUAUAUGUUUUUGACAGCCUUUUCCACGGUACAAUCAAAAAAGACAAAAAGGCAAAUUUGCAAUAUUUUGCAUUGUCAAGAAAAAAAUCUUGUUUUUAAAGUUUUGCCAGUUCAACAGCAAACGAAUGGUGUGGAUUGUGGUAUUUAUGCUAUUGCCUGGGCUCGUCAGAUUCUUGAAACAAAAAGUUUACCAUCAACAAAUCUAAUGUUUGAGGAAAGUGAAAUUAGAAGUCAUCUCCUAAAAUGUAUAUCAAAUAACCAGAUAGAGAUAUUCCCAGCAACUAAAAAUCCUUUUUCCUUUAGAAGAUGUGCUGCUAAGACUUUUUGUGUUCCUCUGCAUUGCUCUUGUCGUAUGUUUUGGGUGCCUGGAGACGAAGACAUAUAUAACAGGCAAAUGAUACAAUGCUGUGCUUGUAGUAGAUGGUUUUAUUGUGAAUGCGAAAAAAUUCCACUAAGUGCCUAUGAGCAGGAAGAUGAAAUUUGGAACUGUUAUGAUUGCCACAACCAGUCAAAUAAAUAAUAAUAAAACAAUAAUACUGUUAUACAGCACAGGUAUAUAAUUUUUAAUAUUACGGACUGUUAAUGUCGAACAGUCAUAAUUACUUGCGUAACAUCCAAAUAAACAAUAUUAAAAAAAAAUGAUUUUAGUUUAGGUUGAUAAUAUUUAAUUUAUGCAGACUAUACUUGAUUUAAUGUAAAACUUUUAUGUUGGGAGGUCAAUAACAUUAACUGACCAUAAACAUUACAUGUAGUAUUAUGUUACUUUAUAUAAAUUUUAUUUUAUUAUAAUGCACGUACUCCACACAACAACCUUGCUUUGCAAAAUGCCUAGAAAAUACAAUUCUUAAAAUAAUUUGCCAUAAAGUAAUACCACUGAUGGCAUUGUACUGAAAAUCCAUGCCAAAAUUUUAUAAUAGGUAUCAUUUCAAAAUAGUGGUGGCCUCCAUGUUAGCUUAAUGAUUGGUAUUCUUGCAAAAGAAUUAAACGGCAUGUCAUUAAAAAGAAAAUGAAGAUAUCGAGCAUGAUUUCUUUUCGUAAACUUGAGACAUAUUUUAUUAACAUAUAAUUAUAAUGUAUAUAUAUAUAUAUAUAUAUAUAUAUAUAUAUAUAUAUAUAUAUAUAUAUAUAUAUAUAUAUAUAUAUAUAUAUAUAACGUAGUUCAAUGGCGUAGUAAGAAAUGCUUUCUUUUCUUUAUAAUGUCGCGACUUUAAAAAAGGCUAUAAAAAAUUAGUUUUCCUGCUUAUUUAACAGUUAGUUGUUAUUAUGUACUAAAUGUCUAAAUUUAUAGCCGUAGGAAUUUCACGCUUUGCUUUAUAUAAUUGUCAUUGAUAUAAUUGGAAAGCAUUUAUAGAACCUGCUAAUAAUUUAGAACUACAUCACAAUUGUAGAUAUUGCUUAAGUUGUCUCUUGUUGAUUAUGAUAAAAAAUUAUUAGGUAACAUACAAAGUAUUAUUGCAAUAAUCCAUUUUAUUUAAUUUUCAUUUUACUUAUAGUGAUACCUAUGGAUUUAUAGUGUUUAUGUCUAUUAUAGACGUAGACGUUUAUACUUUAAAUAGCAUGUAUUUUUUAAUUAUAGCACAUAUAUACGGCUAUUCUUAUACAGGUAUAAACUGCCCUAAUUGUUA
rnacentral:misc_RNA from 1 species